GAGAAGAACGUAGCGAAAUGCGAUAAGUAAUGUGAAUUGCAGAAUUCAGUGAAUCAUCGAAUCUUUGAACGCACAUUGCGCCCGCUGGUAUUCCGGCGGGCAUGCCUGUUCGAGCGUCAUUUCAACCCUCAAGCUCUCCGGAGUUUGGUGUUGGGGCGCCUGGGGCUUUUCGACCUCAGGGCCCUCAAGUCCAUCGGCGGGACCGCCAGGACACUGAGCGCAGUAGUAUUAUUUCGCUCGGUAGGAUCUUCCACGGCGGGUCGAUCUGGCCGCUAAACCCCCCAAUUCUCACCAAAGGUUGACCUCGGAUCAGGUAGGAAUACCCGCUGAACUUAAGCAUAUCAAUAAGCGGAGGA
rnacentral:misc_RNA from 1 species